GCUUUCGUGGUGUAACGGUAGCACGUUCAGCGCAUAUUCGAGAGGUCCAGGUUCGAAUCCCGCGAAAGCA
rnacentral:tRNA from 1 species